rnacentral:rRNA from 1 species
UACGUAGGGGGCGAGCGUUGUCCGGAUUCAUUGGGCGUAAAGCGCGCGCAGGCGGUUGGGAGAGCCCGGCGUGAAAGCCCCCAGCUCAACUGGGGGAGGCCGUCGGGGACCUUCCGACUGGAGGCCGGUAGGGGCGAGCGGAAUUCCCGGUGUAGUGGUGGAAUGCGUAGAUAUCGGAAGGAACAUCAGUGGCGAAAGCGGCUUCCUGGACCAGCACCGACGUUCAGGCACGAAAGCGUGGGGAGCAAACAGG